UUCCGGUUGAUCCCGCCGGAGGCUACCGCUAUUGGAGUUCGAUUAAGCCAUGCGAGUCGCGAGAAAUUAGAUUCUCGGCGUACCGCUCAGUAACACGUGGGUAACCUGCCCUAUGCUGGAUAAUAACCUCGGGAAACUGAGAAUAAUGAUCCAUAGUUCACUACGCCUGGAACGGUGAGUGGAUGAAAGCUCCGGCGGCAUAGGAUGGGCCUGCGGCGUAUCAGGUUGUAGGGGGUGUAACGUACCCUCUAGCCCUCUACGCGUACGGGUGUUGGGAGACAUAGCCCGGAGAUGGAUUCUGAGACACGAAUCCAGACCCUACGGGGUGCAGCAGGCGCGAAAACUUGGCAAUGCGAGAAAUCGUGACCAGGGAACUCCAAGUGCAUGGGGUAAGACCCAUGCUUUUCUUGACUCUAAAUAGGUCUUGGAAUAAGGGGUGGGUAAGGACGGUGCCAGCCGCCGCGGUAAUACCGGCGCCUCAAGUGGUAGUCGCUUUUAUUGGGCCUAAAACGUCCGUAGCCGGUCUGAUACAUUCGUGGGUAAAUCAACCAGCUUAACUGGUUGAAUUCUGCGAGGACGGUCAGACUUGGGACCGGGAGAGGUGUGGGGUACGCUCAGGGUAGGGGUAAAAUCCUGUCAUCCUGAGCGGACCACCUGUUGCGAAGGCGCCACACUAGAACGGAUCCGACGGUCAGGGACGAAGCCUAGGGGCACGAACCGGAUUAGAUACCCGGGUAGUCCUAGGUGUAAACGCUGUGGACUUGAUGUUGGGGGUGCUCCGAGCACUCUCAGUGUCGAAGCGAAGGUGAUAAGUCCACUGCCUGGGAAGUACGGUCGCAAGGCUGAAACUUAAAGGAAUUGGCGGGGGAGCACCGCAACCUGAGGAUUGUGCGGUUUAAUUGGAUUCAACGCCGG
rnacentral:rRNA from 1 species